GUAGGGUCCAAGCGUUAAUCGGGAAUUACUGGGGCGUAAAGCGUGCGCAGGCGGUUGUGCAAGGCCGAUGUGAAAUCCCCGGGGCUUAACCUGGGGAAUUGCAUUGGUGACUGCACGGCUAGAGUGUGUCAGAGGGGGGUAGAAUUCCACGUGUAGCAGUGAAAUGCGUAGAGAUGUGGAGGAAUACCGAUGGCGAAGGCAGCCCCCUGGGAUAACACUGACGCUCAUGCACGAAAGCGUGGGGAGCAAACAGGAUUAGAUACCCUGGUAGUCCACGCCCUAAACGAUGUCAACUAGUUGUUGGGGAUUCAUUUCCUUAGUAACGUAGCUAACGCGUGAAGUUGACCGCCUGGGGAGUACGGUCGCAAAGAUUAA
rnacentral:rRNA from 1 species